GAGACACCCCUCUGGGGCAAGACUUGCUUCAAUGGGGCUUUGGUGCUCACUGAGUCUGCCUCCUGCUUGUGUCUUU
rnacentral:pre_miRNA from 1 species